AUUGAACGCUGGCGGCAUGCCUUACACAUGCAAGUCGAACGGUAACGGGCCUUCGGGUGCCGACGAGUGGCGAACGGGUGCGUAAUACAUCGGAACGUGCCCGAUCGUGGGGGAUAACGAGGCGAAAGCUUUACUAAUACCGCAUACGAUCUACGCUUGAAAGCAGGGGACCGCAAGGCUUUUCGCGGCCGUUGCGGCCGCUGGCAGAUUAGGUAGUUGGUGGGAUAAAAGCUUACCAAGCCGACGAUCUGUAGCUGGUCUGAGAGGAUGAUCAGCCACACUGGGACUGAGACACGGCCCAGACUCCUACGGGAGGCAGCAGUGGGGAAUUUUGGACAAUGGGCGCAAGCCUGAUCCAGCCAUGCCGCGUGCAGGAUGAAGGCCUUCGGGUUGUAAACUGCUUUUGUACGGAACGAAAAGCCUUGUUUUAAUACAGGAGGGUCAUGACGGUACCGUAAGAAUAAGCACCGGCUAACUACGUG
rnacentral:rRNA from 1 species